rnacentral:rRNA from 1 species
UAAGCCUGUGAAGGUGUGUCGUGAGGCAUGCUGGAGGUAUCAGAAGUGCGAAUGCUGACAUAAGUAACGAUAAAGCGGGUGAAAAGCCCGCUCGCCGGAAGACCAAGGGUUCCUGUCCAACGUUAAUCGGGGCAGGGUGAGUCGACCCCUAAGGCGAGGCCGAAAGGCGUAGUCGAUGGGAAACGGGUUAAUAUUCCCGUACUUGGUGUUACUGCGAAGGGGGGACGGAGAAGGCUAUGUUGGCCGGGCGACGGUUGUCCCGGUUUAAGCGUGUAGGUGUGUGUUCCAGGUAAAUCCGGUUCACUUUAACACUGAGGCGUGACGACGAGGCACUACGGUGCUGAAGCAACAAAUGCCCUGCUUCCAGGAAAAGCCUCUAAGCAUCAGGUAACAUCAAAUCGUACCCCAAACCGACACAGGUGGUCAGGUAGAGAAUACCAAGGCGCUUGAGAGAACUCGGGUGAAGGAACUAGGCAAAAUGGUGCCGUAACUUCGGGAGAAGGCACGCUGACACGUAGGUGAAGUGAUUUACUCAUGGAGCUGAAGUCAGUCGAAGAUACCAGCUGGCUGCAACUGUUUAUUAAAAACACAGCACUGUGCAAACACGAAAGUGGACGUAUACGGUGUGACGCCUGCCCGGUGCCGGAAGGUUAAUUGAUGGGGUCAGCGCAAGCGAAGCUCCUGAUCGAAGCCCCGGUAAACGGCGGCCGUAACUAUAACGGUCCUAAGGUAGCGAAAUUCCUUGUCGGGUAAGUUCCGACCUGCACGAAUGGCGUAAUGAUGGCCAGGCUGUCUCCACCCGAGACUCAGUGAAAUUGAACUCGCUGUGAAGAUGCAGUGUACCCGCGGCAAGACGGAAAGACCCCGUGAACCUUUACUAUAGCUUGACACUGAACAUUGAGCCUUGAUGUGUAGGAUAGGUGGGAGGCUUUGAAGUGUGGACGCCAGUCUGCAUGGAGCCGACCUUGAAAUACCACCCUUUAAUGUUUGAUGUUCUAACGUGGACCCGUGAUCCGGGUUGCGGACAGUGUCUGGUGGGUAGUUUGACUGGGGCGGUCUCCUCCUAAAGAGUAACGGAGGAGCACGAAGGUUGGCUAAUCCUGGUCGGACAUCAGGAGGUUAGUGCAAUGGCAUAAGCCAGCUUGACUGCGAGCGUGACGGCGCGAGCAGGUGCGAAAGCAGGUCAUAGUGAUCCGGUGGUUCUGAAUGGAAGGGCCAUCGCUCAACGGAUAAAAGGUACUCCGGGGAUAACAGGCUGAUACCGCCCAAGAGUUCAUAUCGACGGCGGUGUUUGGCACCUCGAUGUCGGCUCAUCACAUCCUGGGGCUGAAGUAGGUCCCAAGGGUAUGGCUGUUCGCCAUUUAAAGUGGUACGCGAGCUGGGUUUAGAACGUCGUGAGACAGUUCGGUCCCUAUCUGCCGUGGGCGCUGGAGAACUGAGGGGGGCUGCUCCUAGUACGAGAGGACCGGAGUGGACGCAUCACUGGUGUUCGGGUUGUCAUGCCAAUGGCACUGCCCGGUAGCUAAAUGCGGAAGAGAUAAGUGCUGAAAGCAUCUAAGCACGAAACUUGCCCCGAGAUGAGUUCUCCCUGAGACUUAGAGUCUCCUGAAGGAACGUUGAAGACGACGACGUUGAUAGGCCGGGUGUGUAAGCGCAGCGAUGCGUUGAGCUAACCGGUACUAAUGAACCGUGAGGCUUAACCUUACAACGCCGAAG